GAGCAUUUACGGUAUGUCGCCGGCGCAGCCUCAUCAGCUGUCCGAAACGAAACGACCUACACGAACUCAUAUCCGCAAGUACAAGCGAAUCCAAUUAUUUUACAUCGCGUUAACUAUCAGGCCUAUGUUUUUAGACAUGUCGUUUGAGGUCUUCUUUCGUUCUCGUGUUGUUUCCAUUAUGGAAACUUUGACUGCCAAAGCGCUGCAAGACAUCUGUCAACUUAUGGAAGAAACCUGUGUUGCUCUUCGAGAGGAAAUUAAGCAUGAACAAAACCAAAGUAAUUCGAGGACAAACCUAAAGUUGCAGGAGAAUGGCACAUGGACGGAAAAGCCAGCGACCUGCGUGGCCAACGUUGAAAAGACGGCUUCCCCGCCAUGUGUGAGGAACUUCCCUGUCGUUGAGCAAAUUCUCAAUGAACAAGAGGCUAAUGGUCUUUGGCUAGAUGGGGAUCAUUCUCUGGAAGACGAAGUUCCAUCCUCAGUAAUACUAGAUCGAGAAGGGCAAUCACAGCCGCUUGGUCAGACGACAGAUCAGGUAAUCGAGACAUGGCAAGCACCACUGGUCAUCAAACAGGAGGAAAUGGAUGAAAAUGACGUGGAGUUUCAAGGUUAUGGUGAAUGGAUGCCAGGGACAAAUGGGGCCAACCAGAAUAACCCUGGAGAAAGUGACGAGCCGGAUAAAAGUCAGUCCUUUGGGGGAUCUGGCAAACUUAAAGACUUGAAAAGACAACAUAGUCCAUGCCGCGGGUCCACUGGGGAUGCCGUGGCACCAAAAAGGAAGUCACAUUCAAGUUACACUUGUGAAAUAUGUGGAAAAAUUGAGACCCAAAAACACAAACUGGCAAGUCACAUGAUAACACACACAGGGAUGCCGUAUGGCUGCGAUGUCUGUGGUGAGAAAUUCAUGUUACUGAAGUUCUUGAUAAGGCACAAGCAAUCAAAACACACAGUGAAAACCUACAAAUGUUCCUUGUGCGAGAAAACCUUUCUGAAAGCCGGGUUUCGCGACAAUCAUGAACGAAGUCACUCUGGAAAAAACUACCGGUGCUCAGACUGUGGUGAGACAUUCAAGGAACGCGGGGAUCGCGAUGCGCACAAGUGCAUCGUUUUCACAGGAAAACAACUGUUCAGCUGCUCGGAGUGCAGUGAGAACUUUGACAGGCAGUACCAUCUCAAACGACACCAGAUGGACCAACACCCAUUUAUGAUGCACCAGGCUCACAACCCAGAACCCAAGUCAAAGGACAUUCAGGACCAACAGGCCAAACAGCAGAGUGUCGGGGAGACAAUUGAAAAGCCCUACAGUUGCUCUGUGUGCCCUAUGGUGUUUGUGUAUCGUAAAUCACGUGAAAACCACGAGCGCAAACAUAUUCAACAAGACUACUGUUGUUCAGACUGUGGCAAGACGUUCAAGGAGCUCCAACAGCGUAAAGCACACAAGUGCAAGGGAGAGCAAUCCUUCAGGUGCUCUGUGUGUGGCAAGGACUUUGAAAAGCAGUACAUUCUCAAACGACACCAGCUGGAAAAACACCCUCCAAGGGUGGACCAGACUGUGAUCCCAGAACCUGCACGACAGCACUUCAGACAAAACACCGGGAAAUCCUACAGUUGCACUGUGUGUGGAAAGGGGUUCAUCUACAUCAAAUCCCUCAACAAGCAUGAACUCACUCACUGGGAAGUAAAGGUACACCGGGAUCCAGACACAACCAUGUCCCUUGUUCAGAUGGCUAACAGCCAGCAACUUAAGUCAAUAGACAUUGAGGGCCAACAUCGUCAUUUUGAGGUAGCAGAGGCUUCAGAAGAACCAGUGAAAAGUAAACCUACACAAUACACCUCUGAAGUAUGUGGAGAAACGUGUUGGAAUGAAGGAGGCAUGUCUAAGCACAUGUCAAUACAUACAAAGAGGCGCUUUGUAUGCAAUGUCUGUGGCAAGGUGUUUAGACGCCAACGAGCUUUAAACAUGCAUCAGCUCGUACACAAGACAUGCACUCAAAUUAGGUGCUUACAGUGCAACCAGGAUUUCACAAGCCUAUACGAUCUUAAAAAACACCAGCUUGAAAAGAAUCAUGUAAUGGAGGAGCAACCACCUUCUGACCAAAACUAUGCUGCAUCAGUCCCAGGAACACAGGCUUCUGUUGGCAGCGAUCAAAGCACUGAUAUGAGUGACCGUGGUGGACAAUGAGGUUCCAUAAGUAAUUAAUGCCAAUGAUGUCAAAGUGGUCAGUUUGAAUUUUUUUGUUUUGACUGUCUACUGAAUACCACCCAAAUGUCUAGAAUUGAAAGUGUAUACAUUUACUUUGUAUUUAAGUUGGAAAAUUGAAAGAUGUUAAAGUUAAAAGCAUUAUUUUUAUUUUUUUAUUAAAAAUAAAAUACUAACGAAAAUCAGAGCAACUGCUAAGUGAGGGGGAAAAGCCUGGUGAAAAUGUUCGGUUGCCAGAUCGUUCUAUCAAAGGUAGGUACUUUUAAUAAGAACCAGAAGACAAAUUUAUCGGAAUGUUCUGUAGGGGUGAUACACUUGUUGCAUGGCAUGUUAUGUUGGGGAUGCUAACACGAUAGAUGUAACUAUACAUUUAACCUCACAUAUUUACGAGAUACUGCUGUCAGGGAACCACCGUCAUAACCGCAGCAAUCCGGAAGUAAACAAUGAAACCUACAUGCUAAUGCUAACGGCUAGUUGGCUGAUGCUAGAUGCACACUAGAUAAACGAUAUCCUGAAUCUUUUUAUAAGGAAAUGUAGCUACUGCGUUUCAAUUACACGAUAGUAUUAUUAAAUUUGAACUACCCAGUUACCAAAUAGAUCUAUUAUUUGAGUUAAAUAAUAUUCAGAAUGUCGAAUUCCGUAAAUUUUCAGUCUCAACUCGCCUCCAUCAUGGAGGUACUAGCAAACGCGGCGGUCGCAGAAAUCUGCCAGCUUGUAGACGAUGGAUAUGCGGUUUUGCGACUUGAAAUAUCCAGAACUCAGAGAGAGAACCAAGCAUUGAAAAGCAAACUGCGCCUAGUGGAUGUCCGUUCUCGGGAAAGGUCUGCAAAAAGAAGCCCAAUCCCAUCCUCACCGAGCUGUGCGAAAGAAACAGAUCUUGUCCGAGAGGAGCCUUCAACUAGUGCAAGGAGAAAUGGAGGACCCAUAGUAUUGGGUGAGAAGCUUGUCGGCGAGGAGACCAUUGACACUAUAGAGCAUCCUGAGUUAGUGGUUGUAAAGGAGGAGAAACUGGAAGAGGAUCUAAGAGACUGUGGCUCAAAGCACCGCCAACAGUCCAGCAGGCACAUUUCAGUGUCUCAAUCUGAUGUUGUGAACAACCAAACCAUGAAUGCACAAACUGUACCGGAGAUCACUGAGGGAAAAGGCGACGCCGACAACGGGCAGACUGCAGAUGGACCCGACGUAGCAUGCCAAGUCGUGCACAUGUCAGACUGUGUGGUGUAUCCAAGAUCCCAUCAUGCAGCUGCUGUGCUCUCUCAUAUAGAGGAAGGCGGAGACCGGGUUGAUCCUUCUUGUUCUUAUUCGGUGGAAGCACAGCCUAGUAAACCAUUUGAGUCCCAGCCACACCUAACUCAGAAUGGGGUUGGGACCUUAUGUGAAAGCGAUGCUUCCUCUGCCUCACUGGGCUGGAAACAGGAAUCUGCAGGAGUAGAUACGCUUAAAGUGGAGGUGGGAAUGCCCUGGAGCAAAGGGAGGGUUAUGGAACUAGGCCUAGUGGCCCGAUAUGGAGUUGAUAUCCCUUGCAAGGAUAGGGAGAGUAUUCAGCUGGGGAAUGACACAAAUUUCUGUUCUCAGAGUAAUAACUUGAGGGAGAGUGAGUCAUCAGAAGGGUGUAAGUCCAGCGAACCGGAUGCAAAUGGGUUUGAUACGUCGUUUGACGAUAUUUUCUCCCCGUCCGAAAUGGUUGGGAUACCAACUCACAACCGAGAUGAUGGGUGUGGGGGUGAAGAACUGGCCUCUUGCCCAUAUGCUGCCAAUGACAGUUUCGGCAGCCCGGCACACUCAACACAAGGUGGCCUCGUAUUCUCAGACAGACUGUUAAACUGUGACGAAUGUGGGCGAUUGUUCCCUAACUCACGAGACCUCGCAGUGCACCAAAGAUCUCACAUGGGGGAGAGACUCUUCAGCUGCACCCAGUGUGACAAACAGUUCCUGCACCUACACCAGCUUAAGACUCACCAGAGAAUACACACUGGGGAGAAACCAUUUAGUUGCACCCAGUGCGGUAAGCGCUUCUCUCAGUCCAGCCACAUCAAGAGACAUAUGAGUGUUCACACGGGAGAGAAGCGGUUCAGCUGCGGCAUAUGUGGCAAGAGAUUUUCACAAUCUUGCAGCCUCAAAGUGCACCAGAGUGUCCACACCGGAGAGAGACCAUUCAGCUGCGCUCAGUGUGGCAAGAGUUUCUCAGUGUUUGGUAAUCUUGUAAGGCACCAGAGUGUUCACAUUAGAAAGCAGGACUAAGUAUUGAAUACUAAUGUGCAAUGCGUUCUGUUUUUAUGGUUUAGGUAACAUAUGGAUGAGUUUUAUACAUGAUGCAUGGUAAACAUUGUUUUGUGGUAACAGUUUGAAGUGAACUGAUGUCUCUUAAUGUGACGUAAACAUUAAAACAUUCUCACCCUAAAAUCUGAA